rnacentral:rRNA from 1 species
GAUGAACGCUAGCUACAGGCUUAACACAUGCAAGUCGAGGGGCAGCAUGGUCUUAGCUUGCUAAGGCCGAUGGCGACCGGCGCACGGGUGAGUAACACGUAUCCAACCUGCCGUCUACUCUUGGACAGCCUUCUGAAAGGAAGAUUAAUACAAGAUGGCAUCAUGAGUCCGCAUGUUCACAUGAUUAAAGGUAUUCCGGUAGACGAUGGGGAUGCGUUCCAUUAGAUAGUAGGCGGGGUAACGGCCCACCUAGUCAUCGAUGGAUAGGGGUUCUGAGAGGAAGGUCCCCCACAUUGGAACUGAGACACGGUCCAAACUCCUACGGGAGGCAGCAGUGAGGAAUAUUGGUCAAUGGGCGCAGGCCUGAACCAGCCAAGUAGCGUGAAGGAUGACUGCCCUAUUGGUUGUAAACUUCUUUUAUAAAGGAAUAAAGUCGGGUAUGGAUACCCGUUUGCAUGUACUUUAUGAAUAAGGAUCGGCUAACUCCGUG